GCCGUCCUUGUCUAGCGGGAGCAUAGUAUUCAAUGAUCGUCUUGUGAGGGUACUGCUGCUGACGCUAAUGAACAAUUUAUUACUCGUACCACUGGGGAGUCUACAGCACCCCAGCAGGUACAAUUUUUGGAAGG